CUUCUUCUUCUUCUUCUUCUUUUUGUUUCUCUCUCAACAGAAAGGAGGAGCUCUCCUCGUCCUCACUCCAGGACUCUCUGCAAUCUCUCGGUAUCACCUCCGGAGACCUUAUCUAUUUCUCUCACAACCCAGAUGUGUUCUCACGUUCUCCUCAAAUGGUAGGUUCAGGCUCGGGUCAAUCUUUGCAGGAAGAGGGUCGAGCUCAACAAGGUAAUCUUCAAGCACAAUCCAUGAAUUUCAAAGAAUCUAGCACUUUUGGUCCGAAUUUGACUGGAAAACAAGAAACCCCGGAUCAAGAUUUGUCUGUAAAGGAAACGAAAUUCCUAGGAGCUAGUGCUUCAAUUGAGAAAACCCUAAUUCUGGAUUUGCCCGUAGAAGGUCAAUCUGACGCGGGUGAUGAAGUUAUUGAAGAACAACGGUCUCUUAUAUCAAAUACGCAGAUGGGAGAAACCCUAGAAACCGAAGAAUUGUCAAGUGAAGAAGGCAUGGAUAUUGAUAAUGGGUCUUUGGAUGUGGAUUUCAAGAGGAUUUCUGAGCCGUGUUUCUUGAAGAGGGUAUUGAGGGAAGAAUUGGGUGAUGAUAUUAGUGACAAUAAGCUCUUGUUUAUAGCUAUUCACGCUGUUUUCUUAGAAUCUGGUUUUGUUGGGUUUGAUUCAGUAUCUGGAUUGCGAGUUGAUCUGUUUCAUCUCCUGGAAGAGCAGUCUUCUAUGUCCUUCACUACGUCAGUUAGUUAUACUCUUCCUGAACUUUUACUUGAUGAUACUGUUACUGAAUCAGUCAUUUUGAGGUUUCAGACUUUGGGGCAUUUUGUCAAUGUCUAUGGGUCAUUGGCCAAGAAUCAGUGCCUGUAUAGAUCGUGCUUGAAUAAAUCUAGAUUUGUGCCAUCUAUUGGUUGCCUCUUGGUAAAUUGUGACAAGGGUGAUAGGAUGAAUGAGAAUGAUGGAUCGUCUAGGUAUUACCCUGAAAAUGAAGUUUUUGAGCUUUGGAAAAUUGUGAAGGAUCAGCUUGCUUUGCCACUGUUGAUAGAUCUUUGUGAAAAGACUGGUUUGGGUCUUCCCCCAUGCUUGGUGCGUCUUCCAGCAGACCUAAAGCUCAGGAUUUUGGAGUCACUUCCUGGUGUUGAUAUUGCAAGAAUGGCAUGUGUGAGUAAAGAGAUGCGGUAUAUGUCUUCAAACAAUGAUUUAUGGAAGAAAAAAUUUACUGAGGAAUUUGGAACUGGAGCAGGAUCACAGGGAAAGACCAAUUGGAAAGCGAGGUUUGCCUCAUCUUGGGAGCUUAAGAAGAAGCGAAAGAGGCAGCAUCUAUUUCGACGUAUACCCUUACCCUUUUAUAUUGUAUCUGAACCAGGACCUGACCCAUUCCAUGGUCCUCUUCCAAUGGUAGGUGGUGAUUAUGACCGGCUGCCUGGCCUUGGUGUUCCAUUUCCAUGUGGACAACCAGGUCGGGCAUUUCCCAGAUUUCGAACGCGGCGAAAUUUUUCCCCUAAUUGUAAUCUUGGAGGAUUCAAUGGAUAGUUUGGUAAUAUCGAGGUUUCUGUGUAUCAUGCUGCAUGCUAUAAAUUGGCUAGUUGAGGACAUGUUGGAGGUAGUUUGCACGCAUGUCCAAUGUUAAUAAUUGUACUCUUAUGUUUCACAAGAGUGAAAGGCUCCUAUAGGAGUCCUUUGGUUAUAUUUUGUAAACUGAAGUUUGUUCCAUGUUUAUAUGUUAAAGGUAUAUAUGUAUGGUUGGACUUUUACAUAUUUGUUAGCAUUUUUGAUAGAUUUAAGGUUCUUUUCUUAUAUUGUGCUAAUUUGAAAGCUUUAAUUAGCCCCUCAUUACUGUCGGAAAUUCUCUUACUACAAUUUUAACUUUUAGAAUAUAUGUU
rnacentral:misc_RNA from 1 species